rnacentral:lncRNA from 1 species
GGUAAUGAAAAAAUUUUGGAAGCUUUAAUGUGUCACAUAGUUGGUGAACCUAAGUUGGCCCCAUCUUUUUUGGAAUUUGUAAGUGAUAGAGAAGGGCAUGUGGAGGGGGUAAAGUGGUGUUUCUUUUAAUAAAGACACUAAAAAUGACAUUGGGAGUGUUGACAGGGAAUCUAAAAAUAGUGAAGAAGCCCCCCCCCCUUUUGACCAACCUACUGCUCAUACUUUUUCUCCUCCUACUGUCCAACCUACUUCUCAUACUUAUUCUCCUUCUUUUUUCCAACCUACUUCUU